rnacentral:rRNA from 1 species
UACGUAGGGGCCAAGCGUUAUCCGGAUUUACUGGGCGUAAAGCGCGUGUAGGUGGUUGCGUAAGUUGAUUGUGAAAUCCCUCGGCUCAACCGAGGAACUGCAGUCAAUACUGCGCGGCUAGAGUGGCGGAGAGGAAAGUGGAAUUCCCGGUGUAGUAGUGAAAUGCGCAGAUAUCGGGAGGAACACCAAUGGCGAAGGCAGCUCGCUGGGACGGUACUGACGCUGAGGCACGAAGGUCAGGGGAGCAAACGGG